rnacentral:rRNA from 1 species
CGGUAGUGUAUAAAUAAGCAUCGGCUAACUCCGUGCCCAGCAGCCGCGGUAAUACGGAGGAUGCGAGCGUUAUCCGGAUUCAUUGGGUUUAAAGGGUGCGUAGGCGGCUUUUUAAGUCAGUGGUGAAAUCCCUGCCCGCUUAACGGUAGAAUUGCCAUUGAUACUGAAGAGCUUGAGUACAAUUGAGGUAAGCGGAAUGUGUAGUGUAGCGGUGAAAUGCUUAGAUAUUACACAGAACACCGAUUGCGAAGGCAGCUUACUAAACUGUCACUGACGCUGAUGCACGAAAGCGUGGGGAGCGAACAGGAUUAGAUACCCUGGUAGUCCACGCCGUAAACGAUGAUCACUCGCUGUAUGCGAUACACAGUAUGCGGCCAAGCGAAAGCAUUAAGUGAUCCACCUGGGGAGUACGAUCGCAAGGUUGAAACUCAAAGGAAUUGACGGGGGCCCGCACAAGCGGAGGAACAUGUGGUUUAAUUCGAUGAUACGCGAGGAACCUUACCUGGGCUUAAAUGGGGAACGACAGCUGCCGAAAGGUUGCCUUCUUCGGACGUUCUUCAAGGUGCUGCAUGGUUGUCGUCAGCUCGUGCCGUGAGGUGUCGGGUUAAGUCCCAUAACGAGCGCAACCCUUAUCGUUAGUUGCCAGCGGGUCAAGCCGGGGACUCUAGCGAGACUGCCACCGUAAGGUGUGAGGAAGGUGGGGAUGACGUCAAAUCAGCACGGCCCUUAUGUCCAGGGCUACACACGUGUUACAAUGGCCGAUACAAAGGGCAGCUACCAGGUGACUGGAUGCUAAUCUCUAAAGUCGGUCUCAGUUCGGAUCGAAGUCUGCAACCCGACUUCGUGAAGCUGGAUUCGCUAGUAAUCGCGCAUCAGCCAUGGCGCGGUGAAUACGUUCCCGGGCCUUGCACACACCGCCCGU